rnacentral:lncRNA from 1 species
AGAGGCGGACUUAGAGGGAGGGUCAAGGUGCUCGCAUCACCUUUUUGUUGGGAAAAUUUGGUUGAUUGUAUAGGGAAUCAAUGAAGAAUGACUGUAGCGGGCCUACUCUUAGGUAGCCAGUCCCCCAUCCCUUUAUGAAAAUCUCUGAAUACGCUACUGGACCACUUUUGCCUAUAUUUACCAUGGGUUGGCUAUUUAUGUAAAGAAGGACAAGUUAAAAUAGAUGGUAUACAUGUUCAUAUAAGAUUUUUCAAGCUACAAAUCCUUACAUUUCUACGGUAUAUGACAUGUGUUAUUGAAGUUAGUCGAAGAAGUUAUGUUAAGCCAAACAUAUCAAUAAGGGAUCUACCAUUUGAUUUUUAUAAGGGGGAUGAAAUUUGGCCGAAAAGGCAGGACAGGAGAUUUGAGUAAAAAAAGGCCGGAUGAACAUCUUGGCCAAACAAAAAGGCAAGAUGACAAUUUAUGUUAAAAUAAUCAGGAUGAAAAAAGCAGGACCGAAUAGAGUAAAAAUAAAAACGCAGGAUACAGAUUUCAACAUAAAAAAAUGCAGGACAAAAUUAUUCAUCCUAGCCUAUUUAUUUACCCAUUUUAUAGAAACAGGCAGAUAUAUACAGAGUUUGGCCAAUUUAAUUCAUCCUAUUGUUGAAGAAUUCAUGUUUGUGUUGUUGGUUUGCUGUCUCAUUUAUGUAUUUCCCAC